CCUCAACAAUAGUCAUUAUGAAAUAGACCCCUCAACUUCAAUUUUCGGCAAAUGCUGCUUGCAUAGACUUAGUUUGGUAUUGAGAUCUAUCUGACGCUGUUAGAUAAAAUGGAUUUAGGGUUCAUAGAAAAUAUAUCAUAAUCGACUCAUCGUGAUAUGCGGAACGUAAUAUUAUAUACGAAAACAAACAGAAUAUUUUUUCGUCGUACUUUCUUACAGUACAUAUAAAACGCAAUCUCCUCGUAAUCUCAAACAAAGCUAUACUCCUGUUUAGAGUGUACAUCUUAUGUACACUUUGGCCAUCUAAUGAUUC
rnacentral:lncRNA from 1 species